GACGAACGCUGGCGGCGUGCCUAAUACAUGCAAGUAGAACGCUGAAGAGAGGAGCUUGCUCUUCUUGGAUGAGUUGCGAACGGGUGAGUAACGCGUAGGUAACCUGCCUGGUAGCGGGGGAUAACUAUUGGAAACGAUAGCUAAUACCGCAUAAAAUUGAUUAUUGCAUGAUAAUUAAUUGAAAGAUGCAACUGCAUCACUACCAGAUGGACCUGCGUUGUAUUAGCUAGUUGGUGAGGUAACGGCUCACCAAGGCGACGAUACAUAGCCGACCUGAGAGGGUGAUCGGCCACACUGGGACUGAGACACGGCCCAGACUCCUACGGGAGGCAGCAGUAGGGAAUCUUCGGCAAUGGGGGGAACCCUGACCGAGCAACGCCGCGUGAGUGAAGAAGGUUUUCGGAUCGUAAAGCUCUGUUGUAAGAGAAGAACGGGUGUGAGAGUGGAAAGUUUACACUGUGACGGUAUCUUACCAGAAAGGGACGGCUAACUACGUG
rnacentral:rRNA from 1 species